rnacentral:tRNA from 1 species
AUUUUUUUAGUAUAAUAGUAUAUUUGACUUCCAAUCAAAAGGUCUUUUAAUAAGAAAAAAUA